rnacentral:rRNA from 1 species
UUCUAAGCUACUCUAGAUCGUGCAUGUCUAGCGCGUGCAGAUUCGCAUGUCGGUAACUGACCUAGCGGCGGACGGGUGAGUAAUGCUUAGGAAUCUGCCUAUUAGUGGGGGACAACAUUCCGAAAGGGAUGCUAAUACCGCAUACGCCCUACGGGGGAAAGCAGGGGAUCUUCGGACCUUGCGCUAAUAGAUGAGCCUAAGUCGGAUUAGCUAGUUGGUGGGGUAAAGGCCUACCAAGGCGACGAUCUGUAGCGGGUCUGAGAGGAUGAUCCGCCACACUGGGACUGAGACACGGCCCAGACUCCUACGGGAGGCAGCAGUGGGGAAUAUUGGACAAUGGGCGGAAGCCUGAUCCAGCCAUGCCGCGUGUGUGAAGAAGGCCUUUUGGUUGUAAAGCACUUUAAGCGAGGAGGAGGCUCUUAAGGUUAAUACCCUUGAUGAGUGGACGUUACUCGCAGAAUAAGCACCGGCUAACUCUGUGCCAGCAGCCGCGGUAAUACAGAGGGUGCGAGCGUUAAUCGGAUUUACUGGGCGUAAAGCGUGCGUAGGCGGCUGAUUAAGUCGGAUGUGAAAUCCCUGAGCUUAACUUAGGAAUUGCAUUCGAUACUGGUCAGCUAGAGUAUGGGAGAGGAUGGUAGAAUUCCAGGUGUAGCGGUGAAAUGCGUAGAGAUCUGGAGGAAUACCGAUGGGGAAGGCAGCCAUCUGGCCUCAUACUUGACGCUGAGGUACGAAAGCAUGGGGAGCAAACAGGAUUAGAUACCCCUGGUAGUCCCAUGCCCGUAAACGACGCCCACUAGMCGCUAGCGGCCUUUGAGGUUUUUAAGUGGCGGCAGUUUAUCGCGAAAAGAACGACAGUCCCGGGGGAAUACGCCCCGC